rnacentral:lncRNA from 1 species
AAGAGUUACAAAUAAAAAUAACUUAUAACAAGCAAAUAAAAAUAACAAAUUUGUUAUUUCUUGGCAAGAAUACAUGUUGAAGUCUCACUACAUCAAUAAGGCAACUGGUUCCUCAACAGAAUAAGAAAGGUACCAGGUUAUUACCUAUUGUAAAUCAUUUCUCUGAAGUAUAUUUUUAUACAACAGUUACAAUAACAUUUUGGCAUUACAACAUUAACAAUAUUUCACAUGUCCCAUCAACAAUAUAUACAUGUUUAUAUUAUCUAGUUUUUAUCAUCAACAACAUGUACACCUUCUAUGGGUUUCAUUGAACAUCAAGCCCAGCUCACACUAUU